GCUGCGAAAAUUAGCACAUGACAAAAAUGUGGUCGUCGUGUGUCAACUCUUGUCGUUUUUCCUGAUAAAAUCGCUUAAUCUACACACUCCAUGCUGUUUGGCAGAUUCGAGGCCUGAGCCGGUCAUCAGUUAUGCAAGUUUGGCUUGUGCUGUGGUUAUGUCAUCAGCAGCAAUUUCAGUCUCACCGUUUUGGAUAAACAGCAUGUUUGAUUGCAGAAACUACCAAUGUCGGCCACGUAUAUCUCUUCAAUUCCCCUUUCUUGAAAUGUCCUCGUGUAUGCCCAUGCGAGUGUGGGUGUAUUCACGAGGACGCCCUUUUCUCCUAUAUCCAGGUGGAUUCAACAUUUUUCUGCGAAUAGGUGAAGCAUAUCUGGAGAUGGAUCGACUGGCCGUGUACUUCCCAGUCUCAAAGGUAGGACACAAUAUGUCCAUCUCUAUUCUUUCCUUUUGGACUGUUUGACUGCGUUAAUUCGUAACAUACGAAGUUACGAUUAUUCCAGAGCUAUCGACUGUAUUUUUCUCUUUCCGUUUUGAGUUGACUCGGUUUAGGGUUCAUUAGUUAACUUAUUUGAAGCAGGCGUGUUUUUGUACCUUACACACCUUUGUAUGUGUGUUUAAAAACAAUUGAAUUCGAAAAAUUAUAUUUGAAAAAUUUAAAAACAGUUGAAGCGAAAUUAGAAAAUGUUGUGGCCCCCACCCGGGCUCGCUCACGAGACGACACUAUAUCUGUCUAGAGAAGGAGGAAAAAGCGAAAGGAUCAACAAGUUUUCUCCAUGAAUUAAACAUCCGCUUGUGUGUCUGUGUGUCAUUCUAUCAAAUAUUUUUCAAAAUUUUCAAAUUUUCGCGCCAGGCAAAGACAUCCCAAAAUUCGAAAAAAAAGGCGCGUAACACUUAAAUGCCUAUAUUUUUCUAUCUCUACUAACACUCAAAAAAUAUUCUAUAAAUUUUAAAAGAAAAAGAAAAAAAGAAAAGGAAAAAGUGGAUAGACAUACACCCCCGUUGCGCGUUGCCAAACUGUAAAAAGAAGAAGAAGAAAAAGAAGAAAAAAUAUCUAUACACAAGCACCGGGGUGUUUUGUUACGCUGACGGCAUCCCGUCGAGUCGAACGCGCCUUUCUCUCUCCCAAGGAAAAAAAGAUUUCGUGAGUUUGAAGACUCCGCGUGACGUAUCCACACGGAUGAAAGAAAGAAAAGACACACGCGCAGUUUCUUUUUUUUUCUUUAAAAAAUAAACUAAAAUUACAUUUGGCGCCAAAUUCGAUUUUCCUAUACGACAAGUGUGACGUCAUUCCAAAUCCCCCCCAAAACUGUUGGAUAGAAUGUUGCAUACAGGAUCUUCUUAUAUUUUCUGGAUCAUUUUCGAAACGUGAUGGCAUUUGAGCGUCCAUGUUACCUGUCCAUUCCCCUCCUUUUUUAUUAUUAAACAUUUAUCCCUGAGGGUAGUACUUGUACUACCAGAAGGCAUUAAAGUAAAUGCGGGUGUCUGGGUGUGUAGGAGGGGGAGGGAUGUGGGGGGAGUGUACGGUGUUCUGGGCCAGGCUUCCAGAACCUUUAAUUCAGAAUCAGAAUAAAUUUAUAGAAAUCUAAACUACUGCAUCGAUUUUCUUCAAACUUUUUGUGUAAACUUACAGUAAUUUAUCUCAGCGGAUAGGUAAGUUUCGAUUCAUUUGGUAAUACUAAAUUUUAUUUCAUUUUAUGCGGAUUUAGUCAUUAGCUUUUUGUGACUUAGGACAACCACAACAUCAAUUCGAUUGUCUGUUUGUUUUGUUUUUGUUGCUGAUUUACCAGUUACCGAACGUCGUCAUCAUGUUGACAUGGCAAAAGACUAUACUAUGGAUUACCUUAUUCAUCAUUGUCAUUGUAAUUGUUUCGCAUAGCUAAAUGCUUCAUGAAGGGAAAAUGACCAUGAUUUUCAUGGUAGUGUAUUAAACCAUUUCUCUGAGUCACUCACUGAUUUUGUUGUGACGCCCAGUAAAAUGACCAUUAAAUGGGUUUGCUUGAUUUUCAUGGUAGUGCACUAAACCAUUUCUGUGAGUCACUCACUGAUAUCAACACCAUAUGAUGAGUAGUCAUCAUGUAUGGCUAAUGAUUAGAAGUUAGACAUGAAUAUGUAUCGUCCUCACCUAAAUUUGGAUGUGCACAUGUCUGUUUCAGAAAGAAAGUUAAGGAUAGGAGAAGAUGAGCACAUUAGCUUAGGCAUACCAGUAAUUUUAAAUCUACGUUGAUUGCAUCUGUUGGAAAAAUGGAAAUUUAUUUAACAUUUGAUUUUAACUGAAUAGUCGUAUGUGUAAUAUUUUCAAAUGCAAUCAUUGAUGUCUUAAAAUCUUCGAGAGCUGUGCCGUAUCACGACAGAAAUGUUUACCUAAAUCACAUUUUGACUUGGCAUUGUUGUAAUCAUUUUAAUUUUUCAUUUUCUAAUAUACCACCGUUUUAACUAUUCGUA